UCCAGACUCCUACGGGAGGCAGCAGUGAGGAAUAUUGGUCAAUGGGCGCGAGCCUGAACCAGCCAAGUCGCGUGAGGGAAGACGGUCCUAUGGAUUGUAAACCUCUUUUGUCGGGGAGCAAAAGACGCCACGUGUGGCGUUCCGAGAGUACCCGAAGAAAAAGCAUCGGCUAACUCCGUGCCAGCAGCCGCGGUAAUACGGAGGAUGCGAGCGUUAUCCGGAUUUAUUGGGUUUAAAGGGUGCGCAGGCGGAAUGUCAAGUCAGCGGUAAAAUUUCGGGGCUCAACCCCGUCGUGCCGUUGAAACUGGCUGUCUUGAGAUGUCGAGAGGUAUGCGGAAUGCGCAGUGUAGCGGUGAAAUGCUUAGAUAUUGCGCAGAACUCCGAUUGCGAAGGCAGCAUACCGGCGGCGAUCUGACGCUGAGGCACGAAAGCGUGGGUAUCGAACAGGAUUAGAUACCCUAGUACG
rnacentral:rRNA from 1 species